GUAGGGAAUAUUGGGCAAUGGAUGCAAGUCUGACCCAGCCAUCCCGCGUGCCGGAAGAAGGCCCUCAGGGUUGUAAACGGCUUUUGACGGUGAAGAAUCGACAGGAUGCGUCCUGUUUUGAGGGUAGCCGUUGAAUAAGCACCGGCUAACUCCGUGCCAGCAGCCGCGGUAAUACGGAGGGUGCGAGCGUUGUCGGGAUUUAUUGGGUUUAAAGGGUGCGUAGGCUGGAAGGUCAGUCAGCGGUGAAAAGCUGUCGCUUAACGAUAGUCUUGCCGCAGAUACUUCCUUUCUUGGAUGAGGAGGAGGCCACUGGAACGUAUGGUGUAGCGGUGAAAUGCAUAGAUAUCAUCCAGAACACCGAUUGCGAAGGCAGGUGGCUGUACCUUAAUCGACGCUGAUGCACGAAAGCAUGGGGAGCAAACAGGAUUAGAUACCCGAGUAGUCC
rnacentral:rRNA from 1 species